rnacentral:rRNA from 1 species
UGGGGAAUUUUGGACAAUGGGGGAAACCCUGAUCCAGCCAUCCCGCGUGUGCGAUGAAGGCCUUCGGGUUGUAAAGCACUUUUGGCAGGAAAGAAACGUCAUGGGUUAAUACCCCGUGAAACUGACGGUACCUGCAGAAUAAGCACCGGCUAACUACGUGCCAGCAGCCGCGGUAAUACGUAGGGUGCAAGCGUUAAUCGGAAUUACUGGGCGUAAAGCGUGCGCAGGCGGUUCGGAAAGAAAGAUGUGAAAUCCCAGAGCUCAACUUUGGAACUGCAUUUUUCACUACCGGGCUAGAGUGUGUCAGAGGGAGGUUGAAUUCCGCGUGUAGCAGUGAAAUGCGUAGCUAUGCGGAGGAACACCGAUGGCGAAGGCAGCCUCCUGGUAUAACACUGACGCUCAUGCACGAAAGCGUGGGGAGCAAACAGG